rnacentral:rRNA from 1 species
GGGGAAUCUUAGACAAUGGGCGUAAGCCUGAUCUAGCCAUGCCGCGUGAGCGAUGAAGGCCUUAGGGUUGUAAAGCUCUUUCAGUGGGGAAGAUAAUGACUGUACCCACAGAAAAGGCCCCGGCUAACUCCGUGCCAGCAGCUGCGGUAAUACGGAGGGGGCUAGCGUUGUUCGGAAUUACUGGGCGUAAAGCGCACGUAGGCGGACUGGAAAGUCAGGGGUGAAAUCCCGGGGCUCAACCCCGGAACUGCCUUUGAAACUCCCAGUCUUGAGGUCGAGAGAGGUGAGUGGAAUUCCGAGUGUAGAGGUGAAAUUCGUAGAUAUUUGGAGGAAUACCAGUGGCGAAGGCGGCUCACUGGCUCGAUACUGACGCUGAGGUGCGAAAGCGUGGGGAGCAAAC